UCCAGACUCCUACGGGAGGCAGCAGUGGGGGAUAUUGCACAAUGGGGGGAACCCUGAUGCAGCGACGCCGCGUGGGUGAAGGAGUGCUUCGGCAUGUAAAGCCCUAUCGGCAGGGAAGAAGCAAGACGGUACCUGACUAAGAAGCCCCGGCUAACUACGUGCCAGCAGCCGCGGGAAUACGUAGGGGGCGAGCGUUAUCCGGAUUCACUGGGUGUAAAGGGAGCGUAGACGGCAGGGCAAGCCAGAAGUGAAAACGCAGAGCUUAACUUUGCGACUGCUUUUGGAACUGCCCAGCUAGAGUACAGGAGAGGUAAGUGGAAUUCCUAGUGUAGCGGUGAAAUGCGUAGAUAUUAGGAGGAACACCAGUGGCGAAGGCGGCUUACUGGACUGAGACUGACGUUGAGGCUCGAAAGCGUGGGGAGCAAACAGGAUUAGAUACCCGAGUAA
rnacentral:rRNA from 1 species